ACCUCGGUGGUGUAGUGGUAGCAUGCGUCCCCGGUAUGGAUGAAGCGCGGGUGCGACUCCCGCCUGGGUCGUA